AUCUGAUGAAUGAGCUGGUAGCUAAGAGAAGAGAUUAGCAUCAGAAGAAGCAACGACACCAGACUGACGUGGGGCAGAGGAGCAUCUUGUCUGGCAGUGUGGCCCCACAGAAGCAGGCAGGAUGGACGCGGGCACCCAGACCCAGCUGGCCUCAGCCCUGCAAGAAGAUACCACAAGUUCCAAUGCAACACAACAGCUAUGGAAGAUUUUUUCCUUGAAGUUCCUGAAGCCAUGCCGGCCAGGGACAAAGCCCCGAUCAAAGCCAUCAGAACUACAAGCGAAUAGGCCCAAGGCUCAGAACCCAACACACGCAGAGCCACGGGGAAGGCAGCGGUUCCCUGUGCCCCGAGAAGGGACAGAGAUGAUUGAUAACACCAGGAUUUCCAUCUCCCACCAGGAGCAGGCCAGGCCCAGGGCCAGCAGAGCAGCCCCUGCUACACCAGCAUUCCCAUCCCAGGCACAGGGCAGCUCUUGCUGCCCACAUGAGCCGCUGGCAGUGAGCCCACAGCCAGGCCAGCCUGACGCUGGUGGACAGCAGCCGCUGCUCUUUGUCUUCAAGCAGAAAAUGGCCCCCCUUGCUGCAUCUGUUCGGGGUCCUGCAGAGCUGAAUCAUUCGGCGUCUUUAGAAAUGGAAAUAGUUCCACAGGCCAUCCAGCCAGCACCCUUCUCCAUGCAGCUGAGCCCACAGGGGAAUUUUGUUCCGCAGCGUUCACAGCCCCCAGUUCUGCACAAUAUGGGCAAGUCAGCUCCAGUCACCUGCCAGCCCCCAAAGGUCAAGCAAGGGCCAGUGGGAGCCAGCAUUUCCCCUCCCUGCCUGGAGAUCAUCUCACUGAAGGAAGGCUUUGCCAUCAAGACCUUUCCCAGGUGCAACCAAAACUGUUUGCCUGCAAACCUCAACAAAGCCCACACUGAGCCCCUGCCAGGGGCUGCCAAGGUACUGAGUAUUCCUGUGAGAGGCCGAGCACCAAGGUCUGUGCCCCUGCCUGGAGCCAAGUGGGUACACAAAAUCCUGUAGAGAGAAGUCUUCCUCAUCCAACACCCAGCUCCUGUGAGGACGGUGCAGCUUGAAGCACACAGCAGCUCUACCCCAGGCAGUUCACAUUUUAAGGAUGCUUCCCCCACACGCCUUCAAACCACAUGCAAGGAAUUAAUAACACCAUGUUUGUUCAGUGUAAAGGUUGCAAUAUCUUUCUUUCACCUGGUUAAAUCCAUUUACCCAGACUGUUAAAUGGUACCAGCGCUGACAGUGCCUCUUUCCUGUGGAAGUGGCCCAGGUAAGCCAGGAGGAGGAGAAGGAGGAACGAAGAACUCCAGAUGCUGAGAGCAAGCAGAUGGGUGGUUUGUCCACUGGGGAUGAAGUUAUGAGAAAUCUGGAAAGGGAAUUUUGUUUGGUUGGGCUUUUGUAGCUUUUUUUUUUUUUUUUAAAGGCAAAUAUUGCCUUUCCUCUGGAUCACGUAUUGGCUGCUUCCAAGGGUACGGUUCUUUUGGCUAUAUACUCUCCAACAAUCCAUCACAGCUCACCAGCAUACACUGUACCAAAGUUUGCUACAGGACAGGAUUUUAAAAUUCAUCCUUAACAGCACACCUUAAAAAACCACGCAGCUCUCAUUAUGGCUAAAAGCCACCUCCUCUAGCUUGGUUUGGGUGAGUCACAUAAAAACAGCAGUCUCCUUUCUUGAAAAUCUACCAUCACCUAACACUGCGUGAAUUAUUAGAAUGAGACUCCCUGGUCAUUCAGAGAGUAAACGGUCUCAUCUUUGCACGGUUUGUAUGUGGUAUUUUGAACCCCACAUGAUGAAUGUGGCUUAUUUGCCUCUCUCCUGACAGCACGCAGCACCAGGCAGUUUGGCAGAGGCUCCUCCUCUACUUCCUUUGAUGGCUGCUGGUGAUGACAGUUGAUUCAGGGCUUCAGUACAAGAAGUGGAUGGUAAAAUACUAUUGAAAGUGAUUGUAUUUACUAAUAUUGAAUGCAAAAUGACCUGCAGAAAUGAUUAUUUUCAUCCAGCUGCCACAGCUGCUGCCACUCCCCUUACUGCUCUGGUUCUGCUGCUGCAAGUCACCAUGCUGGGUCCGAUAGCUGGUAAUGCAGUCACUGCUGCUUCCUUAGAGCUCUACAGCUUCAUUUCCUAGACAUAUAGCUUCAAAUACAGUUCACUGAAGAGAAGACUCAGAACCCAUAACGCAACAUGCCCAGACCAUCCAGCAGGGAUGUACAAACCCAUGGACUGCUUGUAACCUAUGGUUACAAAGACCGAUCUGACUGAGGCAACAUCUUACAUCACUCAAAUCCAGCUGGAAAAAAGACAAGCAACAACAGGGAUGUUUUGCUCAGCUAGCUUCAUACUGUACCUUACCAGAACGCAUUUAGUAUCUAAUGGGAGCACUGAGCAUGUAUAUUUAAUUAAAAUAAAAUCUUAACUUUGAUACA
ensembl:lncRNA